rnacentral:rRNA from 1 species
UCCUGACACGCGGACGUCGGGUGCGGAACACGUGUGCAACUGCUUUAUCUGGGGGGAAUUAGCUUUCGAAAGGACGACUUAAUACCCCAUAAUAUGUUGAAUGGCAUCAUUGCGAGCAUUGAAAACUCCGGUGGAUAGAGAUGGGCACGCGCAAGAAUUAGAUAGUUGGUGAGGUAACGGUCACCAAGUCUACGAUCUUUAGGGGGCCUGAGAGGGGUGAUCCCCCAAAAUGGUAACUGAGAACACGGCACCAGACUCCUACGGGGACGGCAGCAAGUGACAGGGNAUACUUGGGACCACUGGGUGAAGAGGCCUGAUCCAAGCCAUACCCGGUGUGGCAAGGACCGAAUUGCCCUAUGGGUUGUAAANCUUUCCUAUUCGGUACAUAAGNGGGAUUAAACCCUUAAACCCUUCGAUAGACAGAGAGUCACGCUGGAAAAGGGUACACCUAUACCNGAAAUUACAGCACCCCGGGGGUUAAACGUCCCCGGUUGACCCAGAGCAANNGCCACGACGGGAUACACAUUAACNGAGGAGGGGGUUGGCAACAGGGACGGGUUAAAUUCCCCGNGGAAAUUUUUAAAUAAGGGAGGGAUNUAA